rnacentral:rRNA from 1 species
AUUGAACGCUGGCGGCAUGCUUUACACAUGCAAGUCGAACGGUAACAGGCCGCAAGGUGCUGACGAGUGGCGAACGGGUGAGUAAUGCAUCGGAACGUGCCCAGUCGUGGGGGAUAACUACUCGAAAGAGUAGCUAAUACCGCAUACGAUCUAUGGAUGAAAGCGGGGGACCGUAAGGCCUCGCGCGAUUGUAGCGGCCGAUGUCAGAUUAGGUAGUUGGUGGGGGAAAGGCUCACCAAGCCAACGAUCUGUAGCUGGUCUGAGAGGACGACCAGCCACACUGGGACUGAGACACGGCCCAGACUCCUACGGGAGGCAGCAGUGGGGAAUUUUGGACAAUGGGCGCAAGCCUGAUCCAGCAAUGCCGCGUGCAGGAAGAAGGCCUUCGGGUUGUAAACUGCUUUUGUACGGAACGAAACGGCUCUGGUUAAUACCCGGGGCUAAUGACGGUACCGUAAGAAUAAGCACCGGCUAACUACGUG